rnacentral:snRNA from 1 species
AUACUCUGGUUUCUCUUCAGAUUGUAUAAUUCUUUCACCUUUUACUAAAGGUUUCUGUGGAGAGGAACAUUUAGGAGUUGG